UACGUAGGGUGCGAGCGUUAAUCGGAAUUACUGGGCGUAAAGCGUGCGUAGGUGGUGAGUUAAGUCUGUCGUGAAAGCCCCGGGCUCAACCUGGGAAUGGCGAUGGAUACUGGCUCGCUAGAGUUCGGAAGAGGCGAGUGGAAUUCCCGGUGUAGCGGUGAAAUGCGCAGAUAUCGGGAGGAACACCUAUGGCGAAGGCAGCUCGCUGGGACGUUACUGACGCUGAGACGCGAAAGCGUGGGGAGCAAACAGG
rnacentral:rRNA from 1 species